AGUGAACGCUGGCGGCGUGACUAAUACAUGCAAGUCGAAGGAAGUGGCGCACGGGUGAGUAAUAUAUAGCUACUCUGCCCCUUGCUGGAGGACAACAGUUAGAAAUGACUGCUAAUACUCCAUAGCAAGGGAUGAGACUAUAUCGUAUCAGCUAGUCGGUGGGGUAACGGCCUACCGAGGCUAUGACGCGUAACUGGUCUGAGAGGAUGGUCAGUCACAUUGGAACUGAGGCACCGUCCAAACUCCGACGGGAGGCAGCAGGAGGGAAGAUUGCGCAAUGGGGGAAUCCCUGAGGAAGCAACGCCGCGUGGAGAAUGACACUUUUCGGAGCGUAAACUCCUUUUGUUAGGGAAGCGGUACCUAACGAAUAAGCACCGGCUAACUCCGUGCCAGCAGCCGCGGUAAUUC
rnacentral:rRNA from 1 species